CGUAGGAUGCAAGCGUUAUCCGGAUUUACUGGGUGUAAAGGGAGCGCAGGCGGGACUGCAAGUUGGAUGUGAAAUACCGUGGCUUAACCACGGAACUGCAUCCAAAACUGUAGUUCUUGAGUGAAGUAGAGGCAAGCGGAAUUCCGAGUGUAGCGGUGAAAUGCGUAGAUAUUCGGAGGAACACCAGUGGCGAAGGCGGCUUGCUGGGCUUAACUGACGCUGAGGCUCGAAAGUGUGGGGGAGCAAACAGGAUU
rnacentral:rRNA from 1 species